rnacentral:lncRNA from 1 species
CUUCAAGGACAAUCGGGCUGGAUUAAGGAGGAGAUGAUCUGGAGAGAUGAAAAAAAAGAGAUCGCUAGAGAGGAAGAUGAGUUGGGCUGGCCAUAUUGAGUUCAGGCUGUGCUCAGGCUUAGAUUUUUUUCAAAAAUUAGAUUUAAGCCUGGCCCAAAGCCCGAAAAAAUUUUGGGCUUGGCUCAAAUAGGGAUAUGGUUCAGCCGAAUUCCGGUGCUAAUUAUAGUUUCAUAGAUUUUGACUUCUCACAGUGAAUCAUUCAAGAAUUGACCCUAUGGGCUAG